CAUAAAUCAACAUGGUCAACUUUGAAUGAAAAUGGCAAAAUGUUAGUAAAACGUCAUCAUUUAAAACUAAUUGAUUUCAAUAAUAUGAUCUAUGCUAUUGGUGGACGUGAUGAUAUUAGUACCAAUUUUGUUGAAACAUAUGAUACCCAAACUAAUCAUUGGAAACAAAUUUCAUCGUUAAAUAUUAGACGAGAUGGUUUAGGAGCUACUGUCCAAAAUAAUACACUAUAUGUUUGCGGUGGCUAUAUAUCAGAUGAAAA